rnacentral:sRNA from 1 species
GCGGAGACGCAAGUUUCCGUUCACUCCUCACACCACAUUCCGCCUGAG